AUCACCAAGGGGUCUUGUUAAAGUGCAAAUUCUAAUUUGCCAAUUCUCUAGUGGGCCCAAGAUUCUGCAUUUCUAACAAGCUCCCAGAUGGUGCUGA
rnacentral:pre_miRNA from 1 species